AUACUUACCUGGACGGGGUCAAUGGGUGAUCAAGAAGAUCCAUGACCUAGGUUGGUGACUUCCAUUGCACUCUGGAGGGGCGCCUGCCUAAGGUCGGCCCAAGUGGUCGAGCCUACGUCAUAAUUUGUGGCAGCUGGGGCUUGCGUUCGCGCAGCCCCUAC
rnacentral:snRNA from 1 species